rnacentral:rRNA from 1 species
UACGGGGGGAGCAAGCGUUAUUCGGAAUCAUUGGGCGUAAAGGGCGCGUAGGCGGUCUUUUAAGUCAGAUGUGAAAGCCCUCGGCUUAACCGAGGAAGUGCAUUUGAUACUAAAAGACUUGAGUAUGGGAGAGGGAAGCGGAAUUCCUGGUGUAGCGGUGAAAUGUGUAGAUAUCAGGAGGAACACCGGUGGCGAAGGCGGCUUCCUGGACCAAUACUGACGCUGAGGCGCGAAGGCGUGGGGAGCAAACAGG